CCUACGGGAGGCUGCAGUGAGGAAUCUUGCGCAAUGGGGGAAACCCUGACGCAGCAACGCCGCGUGAGUGAGGAAGGUCUUCGGAUCGUAAAGCUCUGUCAGUUGGAAAGAAAUGUCUGAGAGUCAAUACCUUUCAGGCUUGACGGUACCAACAGAGGAAGCACCGGCUAACUCCGUGCCAGCAGCCGCGGUAAUACGGGGGGUGCAAGCGUUGUUCGGAAUUAUUGGGCGUAAAGAGCGUGUAGGCGGCCGGAUAUGUCAGAUGUGAAAGCCCCGGGCUUAACCCGGGAAGUGCAUUUGAAACUGUCCGGCUCGAGUAGGGGAGAGGGAAGUGGAAUUCCUGGUGUAGAGGUGAAAUUCGUAGAUAUCAGGAGGAACACCGGUGGCGAAGGCGACUUCCUGGCCCUAUACUGACGCUGAGACGCGAGAGCGUGGGUAGCAAACAGGAUUAGAUACCCUAGUAGUC
rnacentral:rRNA from 1 species